UACGAAGGGGGCUAGCGUUGCUCGGAAUUACUGGGCGUAAAGCGCACGUAGGCGGAUUGUUAAGUCGGGGGUGAAAUCCUGGAGCUCAACUCCAGAACUGCCUUCGAUACUGGCGAUCUCGAGUUCGGGAGCGGUGAGUGGAACUGCGAGUGUAGAGGUGAAAUUCGUAGAUAUUCGCAAGAACACCAGUGGCGAAGGCGGCUCACUGGCCCGAUACUGACGCUGAGGUGCGAAAGCGUGGGGAGCAAACAGG
rnacentral:rRNA from 1 species